rnacentral:rRNA from 1 species
CAGUCGCCACGGGAAUACAGAGGGUGCGAGCGUUAAUCGGAUUUACUGUGCGUAAAGCGUGCGUAGGCGGCUAAUUGAGUCGGAUGUGAAAUCCCCGAGCUUAACUUGGGAAUUGCAUUCGAUACUGGUUAGCUAGAGUGUGGGAGAGGAUGGUAGAAUUCCAGGUGUAGCGGUGAAAUGCGUAGAGAUCUGGAGGAAUACCGAUGGCGAAGGCAGCCAUCUGGCCUAACACUGACGCUGAGGUACGAAAGCAUGGGGAGCAAACAGGAUUAGAUACCCGUGUAGUCCCUGUCUCUUAUAU